CCAAGGUCACACAGUCAGUGAGUGUAAGAGUUAAGAUUUGAAAUCAGAUCUUCUAAACUUCAAUGCUCUUUCCAUGUGAAUAUUGCCUGAGAAACAGAUGAUACAUUAAACAUAUUCUUGAUGUGGAAGAAGUACAGGGGAAAACAAGUCAAGAAUAUGGAAUGGGCUCAGGGAAGCAAGAAAAAAAAAGCAUGGAGGCACUGAGAAAGAGGUGCUGUUGAUUGAGAGGAAGAGGGGAAGACAGGAAGAGAAGAGGAUCAGAGACAAACAUCACCUACUUGAUGGUUUUUCCUAGGGUAGGUCUUUACAUGCCCACAGCUUUCCUAUCAGCCUUGACAACCCUGCUAUUUGGAACCAUGGACCAGAUGCAGGAUCGCCACUCCAUCCCAAGCACCAAGAUUUUGCUCUGCUAUGCAUUAAUUUUGUGAACCUGAUGGAUCUGUCUUGUGUCACAAAGAAUAAUUAAGCAAAAAUAUCCGGAGACACAAACCUGAUAAUGUAGAUACUACUUUGUCCUACCUGCACCUCACCUACUCUACCUGUACCCAAGCUGGGGACUCAAGUUGGGGAGAACCAACCUAUAAAAUCCUCAGUGUGAAAAAAAGAAAACAAAAAUUCUGGGAGCCCAGGAACAGAACUUCCCAUCUACUUAAGAGAAAAGAGGAUGUCUCUACUAAUUUACAUGCAAAUUGAAAACUAUGAGGAAGGAGGAAGCUUGGCAUGGACAGAAAUAGCUCUGGAGUUAGACUGUGCUCUGCCACUUACUGCUUUUGUGACCUUGGCUAUUCCUCAAACCAUCAUCAGAAGUCCAAGUGAGCCUGUAAGAUUUGCCCAUUUUCAUCAGACUGCAAAACAUCUACCUCCAAAGAUGUUUGAGAUUUUCCAGUGGGACUAAAAGCUUUGAGGCAAUGAUGGACUCCGAUAAAUAUAUUGAUGUACUCAGAAGCAAAUAGUCAUCCUAGAAUUACAGACAUCGGCAAAUGGGAAUGCAAUAUGAUAACAUAACCUUGUCCCAUGUUAUAUGUCAUGAAAAGUUAAUAAAUGUUUUCUAAGAUACAGUGACAAAUACAUUUUGAGAAUUCUCUUGGAUUAAAUCUAAUUGAAAACCUUUAAGCUGUAAUCUAGGCUAUAUUUGGACAAAUGGAUUGUGUGUCAAAGGUAUGCUUAAUAUCUAAUGUGAUAAAAGUGUGGUUUGAUGAUCAAAGAUCAAGUCAACAUUUUGUGAGCUCUUUGUUAAAUCUUGUAAAACAAGCGUUUGUAGCAAUGGAGGACAUUGCACAUU